UGCCUUGCAAGCGAAAGGUCUUGAAUUUGAUCCCUAGUACCGCAAAAAGAGAAGCAAAGUGUCUUAUUGGUGGACCCUUCUGGGAGGUUACCAAGCCUAUUAGCUGUUGUUCUCAGGUUUCCUUUUUCUGAGGGCUAAAUUCCAAUAUUGAUGGCCUCUGGGGGUCUUGUUGUGGGUGCCUGCUCGGGUCCUCUACCCUGGGAGGCCACCUGCCCCGGGUACUCCCUCCUGCAGAGGAACCUGUCCCUCUGACCACGCUGUGCUGACAGAGGACGCUAGGAGGCGUACCCACAGAGCACUGGUGAGGAAAGAGGUGAAAAUGGACCCUCCUCCAUCCUGUUCACAAACCUGGGCCUGGAUGUGGCUUCAAUGCCAAAGCAAUUUUGAGGCAAAUUGAGAAGAAAGCAGAAGAAUGGUUAUGACAUUCAAGUUGUGAAGUAUUGCCUGAGGAGAGACGUAAAGCAUAACCAUUAAAGAAAAGGGGGGCAACGAAGAUUAGAAUGAGAAACUUUUUAUUUUCUUUUGUUUUGUUUGAGACAGGGUCUGCCUAUGUAGUGCAGGCUAGCCUCGAACUCAGGGCAAUCCUCCUGCCUCAGGCUCCUGAGUGCCGGGAUUACAGGCAUGUGCUGCCAUGCCAAAAAUUUGAUUUUGAAAAAAGGUAGCAGAAGUAGACAGAAAGACAAGCUGAAGACCAGGGGAACUGUCUGGAAGUUGCUUACCAAACAAAGGAUUUGUAUUCAGUGUAUACACAAACUACAAUUGAAGGAGAAAAAGAUGGACAGCAACAGGAAGUGUUCGAGGGCCCUGACAGACACCCCUGGGGGCGGAGUCCCCACAGCAGCUGCCCCUGCCCGCCGGGCUGCGUUAGCCCUGCACUCCGCACUCCUGUCCACUCCCCCCUCCUCGUGCCCACCUCGCUGCCCCUGCUCAGUGUGGGGUAGCGUGGCGGGGUCCUCGGCCUCCAUCCUCACCUGCGCCCCCUUAAAGUCCAUGUGUCUUACCCUCCUCACCUCCCUCUGCAACAGCAUGCGUGGUGUCCCCAGCCUCCCACCCCUGUCCUAGGCCCCAGUAUGUGCUGUAACAACCCCGUGGGGCCGGUGAGUGGGACAGUGGGACACGAACUCAACAGUCCAUGCAGGUUCAGCCCCAGGGAUGAACAAAGGGUCUCUUACAAGCAGAGGGGUUUUUAAUGGCCUUCUGUGUUAGGCUUUGGAGGGGCUGGGUUGGAGAAACGCUGGCCUGUGGGCAGCUGCUGUGUCCUUUGUGUCUGCUGUGGCCUGCCGACACGUCCUCAGGGGACUGGCCUCAGCCUGCCCCGUCCUCUGUGACCUAGGUUAAAUGCAACCCGUGUCACUCACAGUGGCAGUGGGCUCAUCUGCACUGGCAGCAUCCUGUCCAGGUCCUGUUGCCAGGUGUGCUGCAGGACCCGGUGUGUUCAUAGCUGGGUGGUCCAGGAUGCCUCCAGGACCCACAGGCUGCUGAGCCAUACCCUAUGCAUGGUGGAAUCCUUCAAACACAAGGAAGAGAUUUCCGAAACAUUCCAUGCUCACGACCCAGUGGAAAACACACAGCUCCCCUUUACCCUCAGGCUGAGUCCCUCUCAAAGCUUGGCCUUGCUGCCUCAUAAUGUCAUGGGAAGUAUGAAAUAUGAAAUAUUACAUCUCCCAACCUAUUAACUGUAUGAUACACCGAGUUCUUGUUCUCUAGAAAUUGAUGAAUGAGUUCUAGGAACGACGGAGGUUAAGGAUAGGAAGAUAUUCAUUGAUAGGAAGGCUCCUGAGGGGCAGGAGUGGGCAGCCGGGGACCCCACUUUACAGAGGAGUUUUAUAGGGUGAAACCCACAUGGGUACAACGUGGGCCAAAGCCAUGAUCAUCCAAUAAGGUUACAAGUGCAGUCACUUAGGUAACGGUGGUCCAAUUGGGAAGCGAGUCAGGCAACAAGCGCGGAUGGAAAGAACAAGGAUCCUCCUAGGGGUAGUGGGUCCAGAGCUCUCUGGUCACCCCCAGGGUGGUCGAUGCCUAUCUAGACUUCACUAAGCCCAGUUCUUUGAAGACGUAUGUGGGUCUGGUCAUCUUGUCUCCAUCUUGAGGCCUGGUUUUCAGCUGAUGUGCAGCUAUGCUGUGUUUCACCUUGUCCUGGCCCUCCCGAGGACUCAGCCCUAUCCGACUGCCUGUAGUAUGUCUACCUAGCUCAUCUAUCUAUAGCAGUACUUCCUGACCUGGGUCUCAGUCUGUUUCCACUGGGUCCGACGCCUGGUGUGGACAGCCCGGCCUCAGAGAACCAGCCCGGGCUUUGCUUCCUGCCCUCCCCCGGACUUCAGGAGCAUCUCAGAGUCCGUCGCCUCUGCCAACUCCGAGCUAGCUGGCCCACCAUCCGCUUCACACCUGAAGGAGCCUGCAGGCUGACUCCGCCGCUUUCGCAUGCUCCGUUACCCUGGGCUCUUCGACAGGCCAGCUCUCAGGGCCAACCUGGGCUCCGACUCCGAGAGCCGGGCCUAGACCCUUGGCGGCCUCUGCUCUUCCUGGGCCAGAUAAGAGUUCUUCUACCGAGUUCUAAAAGAAGUUUGGACAACGUGGCCACAGUAUUCGGUGAGAACCCCUGGUGCCCAACAUCCGGGCCAUGGGGAGGCUGCGCCGUGUCGGCCUGGGUCCGUCCCUUUCUCCUGCGGAUGAAUUCAGCUGUUCCCUUCAUCCUCGCUAAGCGGCCUCGUUCUCCUGUGAACUGGGAUCCUCUGCCAGUGCAUCGCCUUCCCGCAGACGGGCGUCCUCCUGCGCCCAAGCCGGGACUAAGUCCCAGACGCAGACUGACAAAUUCCAGAUUCACACCCCAAACGCCCAGACAUUCCCAGCUCCAAACUGCAGUGUGCCUGUCUAUCUCUCGAGGGCGCGAACUCUCUUUCUUUGAGUGCACAUUUUUGAAAAUUCCCUCUAAUAAAUCCCUUUUCUAUCUCUUACUGACCCAUCCUGAAAAUCCUCACUCAGGGACCGGAGCCUGCGGUCCUGCAUCCAGUCCACGGUCAGGGCGAGGGCAGGCGCCUCACCUGGGCUCCCACGCCGUCCGCGGCAGGGGGCGCUCAUGGCAGCGGCGGCCUGGAGACCGGGUCCCCUGGGCCUCUGCACCCCGCCCCCUGCUGGCUCCCUGCACGCACCCCGCAAACAUCCUCUCCCAUCCCCUCACACCCGAGGAGGGGCUGUGCCCGCCCCACUCUGCUUGCCAAGGUCUCCCAAGGUCAAGGGGAUUUGAACCCAGGCCAGACUGAGAUGGGAUGGAAGAAAUAGGUAGAAAAGAGACAAGGUGAACCCUAAUCUAGAUUUACACUCUUUUUUCUUGUUGUUUUCUUUGAAGCAGGUCUCACUACAUAGUCUGCACAGCCCGGGCAGGCCAUGAUCUUUGCGCGACCCUCCUGCCUCAGCCUGCCAAGUGGGCAUGUGCCACCACGCCCGGUUUAAAAUUGUGCUUUUAAGAAAGCAGAAGCUUUGGGAAACAAUCAAAAUUGCCCAAGUUUACUCUGUCUUUUCCCUUCCAGCGAACUAAAAAAAAGAAUCCUGGCCUCUUCCAGAUACAGUCAGCCUUUGAAACGCUCCGCGCCCCCUUUGACCCUAGAGUGAGCUUUCGUGGAUUCAUCUGCAGCCCGGAGCAGCUCGGUCCCCGGCCCCACACUCUUCCAGGGCCCGCUCUGCCUGAUGAUGCGGGGCGGCGCUCUGGACCUGGGACCUGCUAUGGAGCCCAUUCCUGCGGUGCCAGCCUCCAGGGCCGAGGUCCCUCGGGUUUCCCUGUCCGAGCACUGCUGUCCUCCCGCCAGCCUCCCCGAAUCGCAGGCACGGCUGUGCCUGUGACGGCUGGGUCUCGGACAGUGAGCGUCCUCGGGCUGACACUGGCCCAGGCCGGCACUGGCCCUGCAGUAGGGCUGGCCUUCCCAUGCUUGAGGACAGCGGGUGGGACAGGGAGGUCUCUAGUGACGUGCUGUGGGGCUCUAUCUCAGCCGGCAUGGGACACAGGGCAGUCAGGACCCCGAGUGUGGGAACAGUGGGAUGGUGGGCACACAUGGCGUGUCCUCCAGUCGCCCUGUCCCUGAGGUCAGGCAGUUGGAAUGAUGCGCCUGGAUAUACACGCUCUGUCCCAGCUUGCAGCUGCACACCAGCGGCAGGUGGCUUGGCGGAAGCCUGUCUGCCACACCGAAUCCCAAACAGGGUGGGCAGGCAGGUGUGUGGGGCUGAGCCUGGCCCUGAGCCAUCGCUUGCCAGUGGCUGGCCAUCCCGAGGCAGGAACUUGGAGCUGCAGCUGCGUGAGGGACCUGCUUGGAGUAGGGCUGAGGGUGUCGGGGGAGUCCUCGGAGAAGCAUGGCCAGUGGGAGCCGCAGGGGAUGCAUGGGCAGCUUCUCAGUGGGGGUGAGACAGUGCGUUUUGGGGAGAAACCGGGGGGUGGGCAGGGAGGUCUCCACAUCAGUGGUGGGAGGCGGAGGAGACUCAGCCCCACGCGAGGGCCAUGUCUGGUGGGAGGUCCGGGGGCCUCCUCACCUGGUCACGACAGUGCAGGCAGUGACCCUACAUGGCUGAGCCUGUGGCUGGGGUGACUGCAGCCUCCCAGGUCCCAGCUCUUCCUGGGAAAGGGAAGCCGCCCCGUCAAGUGUGGCUGGGAAGGCAGAGCCCUAGGGUGACUUUCUGUGACCCUUGGAUACCAGAAGCCAGGUGUCCCUGAGUGGAUGGCCAUGCCCAAAGGAAGACCCCUGUGGAGCACAGCUACUGCACUGGGGCUAAGCCCCGCCCUGCGGUCCCCCAGCCCAGAGGGGCUCCCACACUCGCCUAUCACCUGGGGCCCUGGGCACCAUCCCUUACUGAGCACUCUUUGAAGGCUGUCAGUGAUUUUCUCCAGCGCCGAGAGGCUUUUAAUCUGAUAAAAUGUUUCUUUCUCCUCUUCUGUGGGAAAAAUCAAGGGCUACGAUCAGCUCCAACCAACAAUUUUGGCUCAGUUCUAUUAAAGCUUGUGUCUACAUGUCCCCCCCGUACCUCAUGCACUUAUAGGUGGGGCAUUUUUUUUUGAGACAGGGUCUUGCUAGGUGGUUCAGGCUGACCUUGAACUCACUAUGCAGCUGAGGCUGGCCUCAAAUUUGCAGCAAUCCUCCUGCCUCAGCCUCCCAAGUGCUGGGAUCACAGGCAUGCACCAUCAUGCCCAGCAGGUGGGGCUUUGUGGAAGUGGCUAGAUUGUGGGCGUGUGGUACUGGAUUAAGGGUGUGAUAACUGGAUUGAUCCCUGAUUGGUUUAGCAUAGUUUUGGGUGUGGACUAUGGAAAGGCUUGUAGUCUGGAUGGGAUAAAAAGGGAAAGGAAGACUUACUGCUUGCUGCCUCCUGGCUACCCUGCCAUAGACUGUUUCUCCCCUGCCAUGCCGCCCUCCCUUGGGAUCAGCCCACUGUGGAUUGAAACCUCUACAAACUGUGAACUAAAGUAAACCUUUCUUCCUUGAACUUGUAGGUGUCGGGUACAUGUGUCCCUGGCAGCACACGCACCCUUCCUCGCCUCCGUCACCUGGGAGCCCAGCGCUUCUCCUUGCUGACGAGGCUCCCGACUCGGGUGGGUGGGGUGAAGGGGGCUCUGGUU